UCACCGCUUGCGCGGGCAGUCUCAUUAGAGUCCCCAGCAUGACCUGGUGGCAACUAAAGACAGGGGUUGCGCUCGUUGCGGGACUUAACCCAACAUCUCACGACACGAGCUGACGACAGCCACGCAGCACCUCGACUAAUGUCCCUUGCGGGAAAAGCGACUUUCGCCACCUGUCACUAGCCGUUCGAGCCCAGGUAAGGUUCUUCGCGUUGCGUCGAAUUAAACCACAUACUCCACCGCUUGUGCGGGCCCCCGUCAAUUCCUUUGAGUUUCAGUCUUGCGACCGUACUCCCCAGGCGGAAUGCUUAAGGCGUUAGCGACGGCACCCGGGGACUAUAUAACCCCAGACACCAAGCAUUCAUCGUUUAAGGCUAGGACUAC
rnacentral:misc_RNA from 1 species